UCCAGACAGGUGGUGCAUGGUUGUCGUCAGCUCGUGUCGCGAGAUGUUGGGUUAAGUCCCGCAACGAGCGCAACCCUUACCCUUAGUAGCCAGCAGGUAGAGCUGGGCACUCUAGGGAGACUGCCAGGGAUAACCUGGAGGAAGGUGGGGAUGACGUCAAAUCAUCAUGCCCCUUAUGAUUUGGGCUACACACGUGCUACAAUGGCGUAAACAAAGGGAAGCGAGAGCGUGAGCUGGAGCAAAUCCCAAAAAUAACGUCUCAGUUCGGACUGCAGGCUGCAACCCGCCUGCACGAAGCUGGAAUCGCUAGUAAUCGCGAAUCAGAAUGUCGCGGUGAAUACGUUCCCGGGUCUUGUACACACCGCCCGUCACACCAUGGGAGUCAGUAACGCCCGAAGUCAGUGACCGAACCGAAAGGGAGGAGCUGCCGAAGGCGGGACGGAUAACUGGGGUGAAGUCGUAACAAGGUAGCCGUAUCGGAAGGUGCGGUUGGAUCACCUC
rnacentral:rRNA from 1 species